UACAGAGGGGGCAAGCGUUAUUCGGAAUUAUUGGGCGUAAAGGGCGCGUAGGCGGCCUGGCAAGUGGAUGGUGAAAUCCCUCGGCUUAACCGAGGAACUGCCAUCCAGACUGCUUGGCUUGAGACCGGGAGAGGUGAGUGGAAUUCCCAGUGUAGCGGUGAAAUGCGUAGAUAUUGGGAGGAACACCAGUGGCGAAGGCGGAUCUCUGGGCAGUAACUGACGCUGAGGAGCGAAAGCGUGGGGAGCGAACAGG
rnacentral:rRNA from 1 species